GGGGUAUUCUAUAAUACUUUGCAUGUAUUGUUUUAGAAAAAAUUCUAAUACUCCA
rnacentral:tRNA from 1 species